rnacentral:rRNA from 1 species
GCUCAGAGUAUAAGCCAAUGGAGCUUGGAAGGCUUCCGCAGAUGGUGUCCAUCAUACGUGGUGUUCUUAAGACCUUGAGUGUGGCUCGUCAGGCGAAGCAUUGAGUUUGCCGGGUAGCUGUCGUGCGGGGGGUUCGGCUUGGAGGUCUCAGGCUUCGGCCGAAAGGCUUCCGGUUGUCCCCUUUUGAAUGGGCGUUCAGAGCUCUUGUGUCUAAUGCGGUUAUGCCCACCACAGCACGUUGUGAGGUCACCCACAGGCUCAAACUGCCGAUCGCGCAUCCAGGACGAUGGCAACGAUGCGUUGUUGAUGAUGGCUCGAGAGAGACUUCACUCACACGCGUGUCUAGUCCUGGGUCGGGCGGCGACCGAGAUAAACCUGGUAUGAUCCUCUUGCGACGAGCUGCUUUCUGGCCAGACCGACGCCCAGGCACCUCCACUGUGCCGGAAGUGCCAAUCCCAGGCGGUGUGAACCCAGCUGCAUUAUGCAAGGUCUCUCAGCCGGGCGUUGGUCUGAGUGGUGUUAAGUCCAGCACCAUCGGUCACGUCUCGAAACACGGGCCAAGGAGUAUAGCAUGUGUGCAAGUCUAAGGGUCUCACAAAACCCGAAGGCGAAGUGAAAGCAAGACUGUGGCGGGGGAGCUACGGCAAACCCGCCGGCCUAGUGGCGCGUGCGUCGCCUGGCUUUUAGCAGAGCUGAUCCUGUUUUCUCGGUUAAUUCUUGGUGCAGGCGCAAGCUCCGGGCUCACGUACAACUCUGGUCACGCCUC